rnacentral:rRNA from 1 species
UACGUAGGGCGCAAGCGUUAUCCGGAAUUAUUGGGCGUAAAGAGCUCGUAGGCGGUUUGUCGCGUCUGCCGUGAAAGUCCGGGGCUCAACUCCGGAUCUGCAGUGGGUACGGGCAGGCUAGAGUGUGGUAGGGGAGACUGGAAUUCCUGGUGUAGCGGUGAAAUGCGCAGAUAUCAGGAGGAACACCGAUGGCGAAGGCAGGUCUCUGGGCCACUACUGACGCUGAGAAGCGAAAGCAUGGGGAGCAAACAGG